AGUGAACGCUGGCGGUAGGCCUAACACAUGCAAGUCGAACGGCAGCACAGUAAGAGCUUGCUCUUAAGGGUGGCGAGUGGCGGACGGGUGAGGCAUACAUCGGCUUCUACUUUUUCGUGGGGGACAACGUAGGGAAACUUACGCUAAUACCGCAUAUGUUCUACGGGUGAAAGCAGUGGAUCUUCGGACCUUGCGUGAUUGAAUGAGCCGAUGUCGGAUUAGCUAGUUGGCGGGGUAAAGGCCCACCAAGGCGACGAUCCGUAGCUGAUCUGAGAGGAUGAUCAGCCACACUGGAACUGAGACACGGUCCAGACUCCUACGGGAGGCAGCAGUAGGGAAUAUUGGACAAUGGGCGCAAGCCUGAUCCAGCCAUGCCGCGUGAGUGAAGAAGGCCUUCGGAUUGUAAAGCCCUUUUGUUGGGGAAGAAAAGCAGCAGAUUUAUCCCCCGCUGUUCUGACGGUACCCAAAGAGUAAGCACCGGCUAACUUCGUG
rnacentral:rRNA from 1 species